GAUCAUAGAGUUUGGCGAAACAUUAUAGAGAGGCUAAUGCUUAUGCAUCUAAAUUGUGGUUUCAGGUAGUGGGACUGUAGAGUCCCGCUAAGGGGCGCCAGAGGCGUCAGGAUUGCUGGUGAAUCACAGUACGCCGCUCCUCGACCAGCUUCUACUUCAGACACUUAAACUUCCAAGACAGCUUCCUUUUACGAUAUGCAAAAAUCAAGGAGAAAGGAAUCCAAGCACAAUAAAGGAAGCCAUCAAACCACAAGGGAAGAGAGAAGAAAGAGAAGAAAGGAACAGAAGAACUACAAAAGCAACCAUAAUACAAGUAACAAAAUGGCACUCCCUGUGACCUGGAUCUUUCGUAAGGAAAGGAAGGCCCAUGUCAUGUCACUGAUGCUCCUUCUACAGUGUUGAUCACCAGGCUCAAGACAUGCCUUCCCCAGAUGAGACGGUUAAAUCCAUGCAGCAGGACCACAGGCAUGGAGUGUCCAUGCAAACCUGGUUACUCUUCUUGGAAAAGAUUCUCCUGAGUUCUGUCAGAAGUGCUCACUAGGUGAGAUGUGGGGGCCUCGGGGGCUCUUAACCCACAGAAGACCCGAGUUUCCUUGUACCCCUUUCUCCAUCCUGGUUUCAUGCAGCCCUGCCAUCCCCUCAGCACCUCCCUAUUCCCUGAGCCUGCAGUGGCCCCUGUCUGUCCAUUUUUUUUGCAUGGCCCCACACUGCGCCCAGCAGUGGCACCUUCCCACACCUCCUCAGCACCUUUUCCUCCUGGCCAGUUGAGUUUUCCACUGGGCACACUAGACCACUUCUUAGGGCACUUGAUGAUUUAUUUCCUUUUGAAAUAUGAAGCAAAAAAUUGAAUAGAGUAUGACCUGGUUUAUGUUCAUCUUUAUUUCAAUUCAAUCAUAAGAUUCAUUUUUAACACUUCAUUACUCAGGAGAAGGCCGACGAGGACAAACGUGGCCACAGCCUACAAAGUCAUAGUAGGACCAAGCUUGUAGCUCCCAAAGUUUCCUCAUCCCAGGCCCCCUUCCCUCUUUAAGAUGCGUCUCUUCCCCACUUUUUGGAUUCAGGGGCAAAGUGUAAUUGUUCUUCUCUGACACUGCAGUUCUGGCUGUGAUUGUAGGAACAGUCAACGGGUGGGGGACAAGAAGUUCCUGCACUAAGGCUGACUGGAGGAUGGGGUUCAGCUUGGGAACAAAGGGGCUUCUGAUCCCUGACCUGGACAGAUUCCCCUUCACAGGGGCCCCCCUACAGCCCAGGGAAGCUCCAUGUAGGUCUUGAAAGGAAGCCCAGCUCCUGAAGGUGCAACUCUGAACACUUAACAGGGCCCUAGGGAUUGAAGCGCGCAGGCCCAGAUCCCUCCCCACCCAAACAGGGGGAGUGAGGGGACCCGGCCCUCCAGGCUGUUCUGCCCCCACUCUCUUGUCAGGGACACUGGGCCCCUGGAGCUUGCUCCCCCUUCCUCCUCAGCUUUCCAGCCUUCCCUUGCGGAUCCCCUCCCUGUGCCUGUACCCAGGUGCCCGAUGGGAUGGUCCAGGACAGUCCCUGCACCCUCAGGAGCAACCUCAAGUGUGUCAAUCAAGAGUCCAGUACCUGGCCCAUGGGGAGCCAGUGACCACUGGCCUGAGGUUGCCCACCACCAACUCUGUCUCAGGUUCAUGCUCACCUUAGCUCCCCGACCACAUCCAGGAUGGCAAGCUGGUUCCUCAGGUCUUCAGGGCCCCCAGCUGGGACAGAGAGGUAGUCAGUAUCUUGAAUGAGUGGCAAGAGUCAGGAGGAAAGGGUCGGGGGCUUAUACAGCUUUGGUCAGAGCAGAACCCAACAGAGAUUUUGUGUUUAUUUUCACUUCAUCCCUCCCCCCUUUUUCUCUCCCUUCCCUAAGGGUUCACCAGAGUUGGAAUGCCCCUCCCUGUCACCAGGUCCCAGGGGCUCCUUGUUCAGUGUCUGAAGCCCCAGCCCAUACCAUGUCCUCCCACCAUCCUUGUGGAGAGAGAUGAGGCAGAGAGGGCCCUCCCCUCUGCUAAGGUGAAUGCCCCCUGUCUUCUAGGCUGUGAAGUGGACCCCAAGUGCACAGACAGAGUGAGUUAGUUUCUCCAGGACCCGUUGGCAUGAGACUGUCAGGAUCUGCUUGCUGCCCACAAUAAGGUCCUGGGUGGAUGCAGGCCUCAUCUGUCCUGCACUGACCCUGGCUCUCUAAAGUGGCCUGGGGGCUCUGGCUGGCUGUAUGAGGGCACCGGGCCCAUUGGGACCAGCCCCCUGGCCGGUUGGCCAUGCUGAGCCAUGUCCUUCCUCAUGCUUGUGAAACACCUUCACCCUACAGCCCUGCACUCUGGAGCAUGGAAGGUGUCAGGCAGGGGUGCUGAGCGUCCCUUAGCACAGGUUCAGAGUGUGGUGUCAGCUCUGUGCACAGGUGCCGGUGCAGUCCUGGGACCUCCCUCUCACGAUCCAUGUAGUUUCCCUCCUUUGAGGACCUGUUGCUCCCACAGGCUGUCCUACCCUCUGACUCUUACCACAUUCUGCUUUCUCACUCCAUAACCCAUCUAUCCUCCCAGAUGGGGAAUCAGCCCUGCCUUAGGGCAGGAUUAUCUGUUGACCUUGACUCCCCCAGGGCCUCCUGCUCAGGUGAGGCCCAGGCAGUGUGGCCUGAUUUUCUGCUGAUGGGAUGCCCAUAAGGAAUGCAGAACAGCAGGCUCACCAGCAGGGGGAGCUCAUUAGGUUCCACUACUGGGUCUAGGCUUGACUGCACAUCAUCUGUCCUUUCUGAAAUGUGUCCCAACUCACUGUCUCUGUGGCUUUCACCCAACCUAGGCUGAAACUCAUCUCUGAUGACUUUCCAAACUUGUGUUCUUUAAUUCCUGGAACCUACUCAUGCGGCAGAUGGACCUCCAGGACAAUGAGAUCCCUGCGGCCAGGGCUCUUACUUUAGGCAUGCAGGGUGCCUUGUAUGAAAUGCUGGUGACCUGGCUCAACAAAACCAGGCAGGAUGUUUCAAUCAACACCCUACUGCAGAGAAUCCAGGACUGCCUGGUAGGCCCCAGAAAGUGCAUCUAUGAAGAAGGCGGGACAGGCUCUGCCGUGUCCUGAGUGGAAAGACUCUUUUUAAGAAUCUGAGCAUCCCUUUUUGCCUUUUCUACUUGAAGGGGAAGUAUAAGUGGACACCAGCCUGGAAGAAAGAGCAGAUACUUGAUGAAUACUUGAAGAAAUUCUAAUUCAAAAGCAUACAGCUCUUCACAAGAGACUCUUUUUAAAAUGUUUAUUUAUUUUUGAGACAGAGAGAGAGAAAGCAGGCUAGUGCAUGUGCACCAGCAGGGGAAGAGCAGAGAGAAAGAGAGAGAGAAUCCCAAGCAGGCUCUGCACCAUCAGCACAGAGCCCAGCACAAAGCCCAACUUGGGGCUCUAACCCACGGUCUGUGAGAUCAUGAUCUGAGUCGAAAUUAAGAGUUGGAUGCUUAACCAACUGGACCACCCAGGUGUCCCCACAAGAGACUCUUAAUGAUAGAGAACAAACUAAGGGUUAAUGGAGCGGAGGUGAGUGGAAGAUAGGCUAUAUGGAUGAUGGGUACUAAGGAAUGCACUUGUUGUGAUGAGCACUGGGUGUUGUAUGGAAGUGAUGAAUUAUUGAAUUCUACUCCUGAAACCAAUAUUGUACUGUAUGAUAACUAAAAUUUAAAUUAAAACAAACCAUACAGCUCUUGGAAUAUUCUAGAACUUUUUCAAUGUGCUUGGAAUAAUUUUUAUGAAAUGUUGAGUGUGAUAAGUGAACUGUGGUAAUGUGUACAGUAAGAUUCUAUGUGGAUUAUAGUUAUAGGCAUACCUUAUUCUACCAUGUUUCCCUUUAUUGCACUUCAAAGAUAUUUCAUUUUUUACAAACUGAAGUUUUGUGGCAACCCUGAGUUGAGCAAGUCUAUUGGUACCAGUUUUUCAAUAGCAUUUUCUGACUUUGUAUCUCUGUGUCACAUUUUGAUAACUCUUGCAAUACUUAAAACCUUUUCAUUAUUACUAAUUUUGUUAUAGUGAUCUAUGAUCAGUAAUGUUUGAUGUUAUUACUGUAAUUAUUUUGGGGUGCCACGAAUUGCACCCAUAUAAGAUUGUGAACUCAAUUAGUAAAUGGUGUGUGUCUUCUGACUGGUCCACCAGCUAGCCUUUCCCCAAUCUGUCUUCCUCUCCCUGAACCUCCAUAUUCCCUGACUUACAACAUUAUUGAAAUUAGGCCAAUUAAUAACCCCAAAAUGACCUCUAAGUGUUGAAGUGAAAGUAUCAGUCACAUGUCUCUCACUUUAAAUCAAAAGCUAGAAAUGAUUAAUUAAGCUUAGUGAGGAAGGCACGUCGAAAGCUGAGAUAGACCAAAAGCUGGGCCUCUCGCACCGAGCAGUUAGCCAGGUUGUGAAUGCAAAGGAAAAGUUCUUGAAGGAAAUUAAAAGUGCUUUCCGGUGAACACACGAAUGAUAAGAAAGCAAAGCAGCCCUGUUGCUGUUACUGAGAAAAUGUGGGUGGCCUGCAUAGAAGAUCAAACCAGCCACAACAUUCUGUUAAACCAAAGCCUAAUCCAGCACUCCCUGACUCUCUUCAAUUCUGUGAAGGCUGAGAAGGUGAGGAAGCUGCAGGAGAAAAGUCUGAGGCUGGCAGAGGUUGGUUGACGAGGUCUGAGGACAGAAGCUGUCUCCGUGACAUCAAGGUGCCAGGCGAAGCAGCAGGAGCCGAUGUGGAAGCUGCCGCAGGUUCUCCAGAAGAUCCGGCUCAGGUGAUUCAUGAGGACGGCGACACUGAACAACAGGUUUACGACGUAGUGAAGCAGCCUCUGUUGGAAGAAGAUGCCACCUAGGACUUUCACAGCUACAGAGGCAAAGUCAAUGCCUGGCUUCAAAGCUUCAAAGGACAGGCAGCUGGUGACUUCAAGUGAAGCCAGUGCUCAUUUACUAUUCUGGAAGGCCGAGGGCCCAUAAGGAUGAUGCUAAAUCCAUCCACUCUGCCUGUGCUCGGUACAUGGAACAACAAAGCCUGAACGACUACACUUCUGCUCACUGAGUGUUUUAAGUCCACUGCUCGCUGACAGUGCACGGGUCACCCAUGAGCGCUGAUGGAGAUGGACAACGAGGUGAACGUGGUCUUUGUGCUUGCUCACACAGCAUCCAUUCUGCAGCCCAUGGGUCAAGGAGUCAUUUCAACUUUCAAGUCUUAUUAUUUAAGAAAUGCAUGUUGUAAGGCUAUGGCUGCCGCAGACAGGGAUUCCUCUGAUGGAUCUGGGCAAAGUAAAUUGAAACCUUCUGGAAAGGAGUCGCCAUUCUAGGUGCCAUUAAGAUCAUUCGUGACUCACAGGAAGAGGUCAAAAUAGCAACAUGAACAGAAGUUUGGAAGAAUUCGAUCGCAGCCCCCAUGGAGGACCGUGAGGGCUUCUGGACUGUGGUGGCGGAGGUGUCUGUGAGUGUGUGUCGGGGGGAACGGCGAGAGAGCCGGGACUGGAAGAGGAGCCUGGAUAUGGCACUGAAUUGCCGCCGUCUCGUGAGCAGACUUGAACGGAUGAGGAGUUACUCCUUCUGGAUGAGCAAAGACUAUGGUUUCUUGAGGUGGGAGCUACUCCUGGUGGAGAUGCUGUGAAGAUGCUUGAAAUGACAACAGAGGGGUCAGAACAUGACAUAAACUCAAUCGAUAGAGCAGCGGCAGGGUUUGAGAGGCUUGACUCCAAUUUUGAAAGAAGUUUUGUUGUGAGUAAAGUGCUAUGAAACAGCAUCGCGGGCUGCAGGGAAAUCGGAAGACUCGAUCAACACGGCAAAUUUCAUUGUAUUAUUUUCAGGAAUUGCCGCAGCCACCCCGACCUUCAGCAACCACCGCCCUGAUCAGUCGGCAGCCACCGACAUAGGGACAACAAGACCCUCCACCGGCAAAAAGAUUAUGACUCGCUGGAAGCGUGGAUGAUGGUUAGCAUUUUUUAGCAAUAAGGUAUUUUUUAAUGAAUACAUCGUUUUGGACAUAAUGCUAUUGCACAUUUCAAUAGACUACAGUAUAGUGUAGACAUAACUUUGGAUGCACUGGGAAACCAAAUAAUUCAUUUGACUCGCUUUAUUGUGAUCGUCGCUUUAUCCGGGUGGUCUGGAAGCGAACCUGCAGUAUCUCCAAGGAAUGCCUGCUCAAGUUUGCAUGUGCACUGCGAGUUGUUUUAGGGUGGCAUUCUUUUCAAUUCGUGGCACUUUGUCCUCCUAACAGCGUUGCACGUUUUACUUGCAUUUAUUAUAUUGUAAGAUGCAGUCAUGUCGGAUGUGUGCAUUUACUUAUGUGUAACUAUUAAGGCUACAAGGUGUGUAUCUUCCGUUUUUAUAUUUUUGUAUAGAUUUAUAUGAGCAUGAAGAACCUUUUGAAAUGUACUCAUUAGUUGGAUUACCCAAGUCACCUGAAUGGGAGGAGGCCACCAUGAAAUGAGGAGGAAUACAAAGGGGGAAGAUGAAAAAGCCCACUUCUAGGGAUGGCACUGGUGGGUUCGGUGCUCCCUCUUACCCAGUUAGCGCUUUCCAGGAUUAGACGACCAUAAACUUCUAAAGUGCCCACUCUUUUCAACAUAAUUUUGUGGCUGUGUGAGUAUUUAUGUUAUUUCUAGGCAGAUGUUUCCAAGUAAGGAGAGUGAGGGGAAGUGGUAUCCACAUGCAGCCCUGUGUUUGGGUGCUCCCAAACACACUGAGGGCAGUCAGGCGUGGGCCGCCUUCUCACCUAUGGAUGGGUGGGGCUGGGGGAUGGGUUAGAUCUGAGCGGCAAAUAGGUUCUAUGUCAUGUGUCACUGCAGGUCACAGGAGUAACCCUUCAGCCCCAUUUUCCUUCUCCAGUCCUUCCAGCAUAUCUAUAUUCCAGUCAUGGCGGGAUAAUGUUAUAGAAGUCAUGCUUGGGGCUCUUGGUUUUUUCCAUCUCAAAGGUCUGUGUGUCCCCAGACUGGUAUGGCUGGACCCAAACUGGAAUCGCCUGAACGUCCGGGCACUUUCAGGGUCUCGGUGUUCUAGUAGAGUUCUGUGGGGGCACAACCCUCACAGCCUUGCUGUUUGUCUCUCUCCCACUUCCUUCCAGAGGCCCCGCCCUGUCCCUUCCCUUUCCUGAAAGACGCGAGUGUUUCCUGCCUCUGCUGUCCCUUCUGUGUGGGGCACUGUAUCUUCAGGAGGAGCCAGGAAUUUUUGUCAGUCAAGGUUCAGCUCACCUGUCCCUUUCCCAAGAGGACUUGAGCGCCCAUCCAAAGGAUUAGCCUCAUCAGUGUUUGUCAUGCUUACUCAUUUAAGGUAAGCUGCGUCACAGGACGAAGCCGAUCCAGUCCAAAUGGCAC